rnacentral:lncRNA from 1 species
AGGACAAAAAUUUGAUUUAAUAUUUCCGCAGAUGCCAAGUCUUUGGUUGAAAACGCAAAAUGUAUAAAAUCUCCAAUUUGGUGGGCUAACAAGAUCUCAGUCUUGGGGCAUGUGUUGGCUAUCCAGAGAUUUACUGUAGCAAACACCUGUGAAAGAUAAAGGGGCGAGGUCACGGGAGCAGUUAGAGAGAAAUGUCAGAACCUGCUGCAGCUCUGACACCUGUGAAACGAGAGGGAGGAGGAAGAAGGUUCUGGAGGCAGAACCUCAGAUCGCAAUGCAGCUCUGAGAAAGUCUGAAUCAGGCUGAUGGGGAGUUUCAGAGCAAAGAUCGCCGGGUAGAGGACUCUUGUGUUGGCCAGGAACCGCCAUCUCCCCUAGCCCUGUGGGGCCCAGUCGUUGACUGGGGGCAACCUGGGAAGAGAGUGGCUCCAUGAGAAUGCCGGGACAGAUCUAAUAGAAGCGGCAGCUGACGGUGGCCAGCUAGCUACAUUCCUUGCAGCAAGUUCUGUCUUGAAAGAUUUGAGCAGUGUACUUCCAUAGAGGUCACAGAAGGUGAUAGGAGCCAAAGCAGUCCAGCAGCUCAGAAGAAAUCAUUGAAGAAAGUUGCAGGUACAAGCCCUUAGAAGCAAAGCACCCAGAAGCUGGGGGAUGGAUGCUCAGGACUGGUAUGUACACCGCAAGCUGGGAUAGAGGAAACUACAUGCUUCAUUAUGUGGAAAUACUGAAAAGCAGAGCAAGGAGAAUAUCAAGCUUCAACUCUAACACCCAAAGAACACUUCAACUGCUGUGAAGCCACUUCUGUGAGCAAACUGGAGGGAGUGGUUCUGCCCGUCGAAUCAUAGAAGCCCAAAGCCGCCUGUAAGAAUGUUGGGCUCACGGGCAGCUGAGCUGCUACCUGGCCUUGCGAUGGCGCAUGCGCGGAACAGCAAGAAACGUAACGGAGAGGGAAAAACACGCACCUGAAAUGAAGCAAAGACUUCCGAUAGAUAACUAAUUAGCAUUAACAUUUUAAUUGAAAACUCCUGGAAAACAAUGAAAAUUGAUAGCCCCUGAAUUUACUCUUAUGUAAAGUGUUAAUCAGGGAACUCUGAAGAAGUCUUUUGUUUGUAUUAAUUUUGUUUUUUAAGUACAUGAAUGAAAUCCUCUAAGUUUGACCUCUUACACUAUAUGGUUUUCAUUCUAAAUGUACAAGUAGAAGCUGACUCAUGAAGUUAUAUGUAGCGUCCAUGAAAACAGUGUGUUAGGAGGCUGCCAUCUUAUUAUUUUCAUAUUUAUUUAAAAUGUAUAUAAAUGUAUUUAUUUUUAAAUAUAAAUAUUUUUAUUUAAAUAUAUUUUAAAUGCAUCAAUCCGCAUCCUAACUCGUAGUUCAGAGAGAUGGUACGGAAACAGUUUUGUGUUCGCUCACUUGAACAAGCCACCUCCAAUUCUUCUGGGAAGAAGGCACACAUAAUCAAACACGUAAAUGAAGAAAUGGAUGCUAGCUUAAACAAAAAUAGGCAAUUUGAGCCUGUGCUGACAUCAUAACAAAAUUGAUGUUAUUUUACUCAGGCUUUAUUUUCCGUGGAUCACUGACUCGUCAAAAAUUAUAAGAAACUCUCAAACUUAUAAUAAUUAGGAAAAAUGUGAUUUGUCCUUGCCCUCAGCUCCUUUCAAACUUUGAUUUUAGAAAUAAAUUUGCUUGGCUAUGUCUAUUUAUGAUAUCAUAGAAGAGUUCGAUUUUAUAAAGUUAUGACUAGCACUUGCAUUUGGCAGAAACUCUAAUCCUUAUAACUAGGAAGGGAGAAAAUCUUUUCAAUCCAAACCUCUCUGAAUGUGUGUUUAAUGCCUCUAUCCCGUAAAAAAGCUGCUGCCGUUGUUGAGUCGUUGGUGCAGGACUCAUUCCGGGGCUUUCCUCAGUGUUGGCUUUGAACCAUCUCCAGCCUCUAUCCUGUUGCCUGCACACCGGGACACUUUAUCUGUGCGUGGCUUGGGCUCUGCAGCCGUCUCUGUUCUACCACGGCCCCUCCUGCGAUCUCCAGUGCUCCUCUCUACCCCUGAUGCUGGGCCUGGGCGUCCGGCAUCCCAUCCCUCCUGGCUGGGCCCUUGGUGCUCGGGACCUUCACUAAUCUGGAAGUGGGAAGUGGACAUCUGCAGAGACUGGUCCUCCUAUGCAUGAUAAUUUAGGAAACAGAGCAGAAAUUUGCCAGGCAUUACCAUUUCUAAUGAGUGACUUUCAUGCAAUUAUACUUUUUAAAGAUUAUAUAAAAAGAGACAAAUCGUGUGUCUGAAAGAUUAGCUAAAGUUGUAGUACUUUCCCACUAAAAAGAUUCUCCUAUCACUCUGGAUGGCUUUGAGAAAAGAACUAAAACAAAACAGAUCAUCAUGAAAACUAUCUAUUUCUUGUAGCAAGAGUUCACAUUAGCUUUAAUUCCAUUUUUUUUUGUAGGAAAACAAAAUGAAAACCAGUACAAUAGUGUUGUGUGUGUGGGUUAGUUUCUAAGCAACCCUCAACAAAUCUAGUGCUGCAGACACUAAGUAAUCUUCUUAGACUCUGUUUCUUUGUUUCGAGCUUUGCCAACUCGUCUAGUCCAGGCUCUGUUUCUGCUAGAGAGUCACUGAGACAGUGCAAGGCUGAUGGUGACUCUCUUCUCCUUAAAGCAAAUCUGUAAAAACAACAAUGUCCCCUUUAAACUCACGGGAACAGCCACCAUCAAGCCAGUCCAAAGUUCUGUGCAUGUUCUCUCUUUCCAGAAUGCUCCAUCGCUCUGCUUUGUGGUCCCUAGUUGCCCCCCAUGACCCACCUGAAAGGGCUCCCCUGUGAAAUCUCUCACUUUCCCCUCUCAAGUUGAGCCGAUUCUACUUGAUGCCAUAGCUGUAUACUGCACAUAACUAUUUCUCACGAUGACCUAUGAAUAUUUAUCCUCUUUGAGACUUUGGUCCGGUCUUUGAGCUCCUUGAGGGAGAGCCCUAAUCUCUUCUCUGACUCCAGAACCUGGCCGCUCAUGAUAUGUGUGUGGAGUGAGUGAGUGAACAAUGCAGAGGAGUAAUGAAAAACCAGCCCCGGCAGUCUGUCUUGCGAUACUAAGGUGUGAUGCGGCCAUCAGAUCCUAUGACACAAAUUGUUUUUUCUUCUCUUAAAAAUAUUAACUUUAGACUGUGGAAGUUUGGGUGACACACAGCCCUGGCAUGGGAAAGCAAAUUUGACAGGGUCUCAAUAAUAUUCCUUCACUCCAGCUGGCCAAAGGAAGAUCUUUGCGUGCCUGCCUCCUUCUCAUCCUUUGGAGUUCGGCUUGUUUCCUGACACCUACUGAAUGUGGGUUGGCCUGCCGUUCCUCCUCCCAUUGUUUUCCAUCCUCAUUCUCUGUUCAUUCUUUCUCAGCGUUUAUCACAAGCUGUAAUUCUUUUGGUCAUUUAUGUGUUUACCAUUUAUUUCCUGGCAUCUGUAUUUGAAUGUCUAUUAGAGCAGGCACUUUGUCUAUUUUAUCAC